rnacentral:rRNA from 1 species
CUACGGAGGGUGCAAGCGUUAUUCGGAAUCACUGGGCGUAAAGGACGCGUAGGCGGGUUGGCAAGUCAGAUGUGAAAUCCUACAGCUUAACUGUAGAACUGCAUUUGAAACUGCUAACCUAGAGUAUGGGAGGGGGAGAUGGAAUUAGUGGUGUAGGGGUAAAAUCCGUAGAUAUCACUAGGAAUACCAAAAGCGAAGGCAAUCUUCUGGAACACUGCUGACGCUGAGGCGCGAAAGCGUGGGGAGCAAACAGGAUUAGAAACCCUAGUAGUCC